CUGAUCUUAUCAUGACAUUUUCAUUUUCAGGAAAGGAAGUUUUCCCCUUUAGGAAGCAUUGUUAAAGCUGGGAUUCCUCUGGGUUCAGACCUGAGUUCACUUCUCUUCUUGGAUCUUCCUCAGGCAUCUCUCCAUCUCCUCUGGCUUCAACAACCAUGCAUUUUUAUGUCGUGGCUACAUUCUCGCGGAUGCAUCAUGGGUUCCAUAUGGCUGCUAGAGCUCCCGUGUCCACAUUCCAAGCAGCAAGAAGACACAGGACAAAGAAAGGAAGAGGGUGCUUUACCUAUCUAAUGAGUGACUUCCACUGACAUCUUACUGGCCAUGCCUACUUACAAGGGAGAUGGGGCAACUUGGUAUUUAGCUUCAGAACAUUACCAUCUUGGAAAAAAAAAAUCAGGAUUUUGUUACUUUCAAGGAGGAGAUGGCUAUCGGGUAGGCAAUCAGCAAUCUCUACCAAAGAACAGAGUUGGUUCCACUUGCCAGGAGGGAACAGUCAAGAACUGAGCACUUUCCACCCCAUUUUUGCUCUCUUGCUUGCUGUACUCUAUGAGAGGAAGACAGAUUAAUCUGACAGAUAAGACCGGAAAAGAGACAAGUUGGUCAUUGAUGGAGCUGUACCCAGUUUCUCUCGAUCACUGACCUGUUUGUACUGAAUUAAGACAAAGGCUUGACAAGAACAAGCCAGAUCUGUGCUAUUUCAUUUUCAAGUCCUCCUCCUCCUGUUCUUUGCUGGGUGAAGUUAGAGUCCAGGUUUUGGGAGGGAAGUUUGAGUCCUGACAUAUUUCCCUAAUCAGCUUUGCUAUUAAUAAAGGUGUAAUGGUAUUGUGA